GACGUAGGGCGCGAGCGUUGUCCGGAUUUAUUGGGCGUAAAGAGCUCGUAGGCGGCUUGUCGCGUCGGCUGUGAAAACCCGCGGCUCAACUGUGGGCGGGCAGCUGAUACGGGCAGACUAGAGUGUGGUAGGGGAGACUGGAAUUCCUGGUGUAGCGGUGAAAUGCGCAGAUAUCAGGAGGAACACCGAUGGCGAAGGCAGGUCUCUGGGCCACUACUGACGCUGAGAAGCGAAAGCAUGGGGAGCGAACAGG
rnacentral:rRNA from 1 species